UAUGGAGGUCUCUGUCUGGC
rnacentral:miRNA from 1 species